rnacentral:rRNA from 1 species
CCAAUAGCGUAUAUUAAAGUUGUUGCAGUUAAAAAGCUCGUAGUUGAACUUCGGGAUCAAUGAAUUGGUCAUGCCGUUGGUAUGUACUGAUUUUAUUGGUUCUCACCUUCUAAAGAACCAUAAUGUCAUUCAUUUGAUGUUAUGGGGAAUUAGGACUGUUACCUUGAAAAAAUUAGAGUGUUUAAAGCAGGCUUACGCUUGAAUACAUUAGCAUGGAAUAAUGAAAUAGGACGUUUGAUUCUAUUUUGUUGGUUUCUAGGAUCGACGUAAUGAUUAAUAGGGAUAGUUGGGGGCAUUAGUAUUCAAUUGUCAGAGGUGAAAUUCUUGGAUUUAUUGAAGACUAACUACUGCGAAAGCAUUUGCCAAGGAUGUUUUCAUUAAUCAAGAACGAAAGUUAGGGGAUCGAAGACGAUCAGAUACCGUCGUAGUCUUAACCAUAAACUAUGCCGACUAGGGAUCGGAUGAUGUUAAUUUUUUAAUGACUCAUUCGGCGCCUUACG